rnacentral:rRNA from 1 species
AAGGUGCUGCAUGGUUGUCGUCAGCUCGUGCCGUGAGGUGUCAGGUUAAGUCCUAUAACGAGCGCAACCCCUACCGUUAGUUGCCAGCAUGUCAUGAUGGGGACUCUAACGGGACUGCCGGUGCAAACCGCGAGGAAGGUGGGGAUGACGUCAAAUCAUCACGGCCCUUACGUCCUGGGCCACACACGUGCUACAAUGGUCAGUACAAAGGGUUGCCAAGCCGCAAGGUGGAGCUAAUCCCAGAAAGCUGGUCGUAGUCCGGAUUGGAGUCUGCAACUCGACUCCAUGAAGCUGGAAUCGCUAGUAAUCGCGUAUCAGCCAUGACGCGGUGAAUACGUUCCCGGGCCUUGUACACACCGCCCGUCAAGCCAUGGAAGCCGGGAGUGCCUGAAGUCCGUCACCGUAAGGAGCGGCCUAGGGCAAGAUCGGUAACUAGGGCUAAGUCGUAACAAGGUAGCCGUACCGGAAGGUGCGGCUGGAUCACCUCCUU